rnacentral:rRNA from 1 species
GGAAGGUUAGGUCAGCCAACUGUUGGAAUAGUUGGUUUAAGCGUGUAGGCGUGCCCCUUAGGCAAAUCCGGGGGGCUUAGCUGAGGCGUGACGACGAGGUCUCUUUGAGACCGAAGUGAUUGAUACCCUGCUUCCAGGAAAAGCCACUAAGCUUCAGUCUAGAAUUGACCGUACCGCAAACCGACACAGGUGGGCAGGUAGAAGAUACUAAGGCGCUUGAGAGAACCCAGGAGAAGGAACUCGGCAAAUUGAUACCGUAACUUCGGGAGAAGGUAUGCCCUGGUAGCUUGUAGGAGAACAUCCGAAGGGCGACGGGGCCGCAGAGAAUCGGUGGCUGCGACUGUUUAUUAAAAACACAGCACUCUGCAAACACGAAAGUGGACGUAUAGGGUGUGACGCCUGCCCGGUGCCGGAAGGUUAAGUGAUGGGGUGCAAGCUCUUGAUCGAAGCCCCGGUAAACGGCGGCCGUAACAAUAACGGUCCUAAGGUAGCGAAAUUCCUUGUCGGGUAAGUUCCGACCUGCACGAAUGGCGUAACGAUGGCCACACUGUCUCCUCCUGAGACUCAGCGAAGUUGAAGUGUUUGUGAAGAUGCAAUCUCCCCGCGGCUAGACGGAAAGACCCCAUGAACCUUUACUGUAGCUUUGCAUUGGACUUUGACGGGACUUGUGUAGGAUAGGUGGGAGGCGCUGAGACCAGGACGCUAGUUCUGGUGGAGCCGUCCUUGAAAUACCACCCUGGUGUCGUUGAGGUUCUAACUUAGGUCCAUCAUCUGGAUCGGGGACCGUGCAUGGUAGGCAGUUUGGCUGGGGCGGUCUCCUCCCAAAAGGUAACGGAGGAGUACGAAGGUCUUCUAGGUACGGUCGGACAUCGUACUGAUAGUGCAAUGGCAAAAGAAGGCUUGACUGCGAGACCGACAAGUCGAGCAGGUGCGAAAGCAGGUCAUAGUGAUCCGGUGGUUCUGUAUGGAAGGGCCAUCGCUCAACGGAUAAAAGGUACUCUGGGGAUAACAGGCUGAUUCCGCCAAGAGUUCACAUCGACGGCGGAGUUUGGCACCUCGAUGUCGGCUCAUCACAUCCUGGGGCUGUAGCCGGUCCCAAGGGUAUGGCUGUUCGCCAUUUAAAGUGGUACGUGAGCUGGGUUUAAAACGUCGUGAGACAGUUUGGUCCCUAUCUGCCGUGGGCGCUGGAUAUUUGAGGGGGCCUGCUCCUAGUACGAGAGGACCGGAGUGGACGGAUCUCUGGUGUACCGGUUGUGACGCCAGUCGCAUCGCCGGGUAGCUAAAUCCGGAAGAGAUAACCGCUGAAAGCAUCUAAGCGGGAAACUCGCCUCGAGAUGAGAUAUCCCUGGGAACUUGAUUCCCCUGAAGGGUCGUCGAAGACCACGACGUUGAUAGGUCGGGUGUGGAAGCG